AGAGUUUGAUCAUGGCUCAGGAUGAACGCUGGCGGCGUGCUUAACACAUGCAAGUCGAACGAAGCACUUAACUUGAUUUUCUUCGGAACUGAUUGUUUUGUGACUGAGUGGCGGACGGGUGAGUAACGCGUGGGUAACCUGCCUCACACAGGGAGACAACAGCUGGAAACGGCUGCUAAUACCGCAUAAGCGCACAGCUUCGCAUGGAGCAGUGUGAUAAACUCCGGUGGUGUGAGAUGGACCCGCGUCUGAUUAGCUGGUUGGCAGGGUAACGGCCUACCAAGGCGACGAUCAGUAGCCGACCUGAGAGGGUGACCGGCCACAUUGGGACUGAGACACGGCCCAAACUCCUACGGGAGGCAGCAGUGGGGAAUAUUGCACAAUGGGCGAAAGCCUGAUGCAGCGACGCCGCGUGAGCGAAGAAGUAUUUCGGUAUGUAAAGCUCUAUCAGCAGGGAAGAAAAUGACGGUACCUGACUAAGAAGCUCCGGCUAAAUACGUGCCAGCAGCCGCGGUAAUACGUAUGGAGCAAGCGUUAUCCGGAUUUACUGGGUGUAAAGGGAGCGUAGGCGGCAGGGCAAGUCUGAUGUGAAAACCCGGGGCUCAACCCUGGGACUGCAUUGGAAACUGUUCAGCUGGAGUGUCGGAGAGGCAAGCGGAAUUCCUAGUGUAGCGGUGAAAUGCGUAGAUAUUAGGAGGAACACCAGUGGCGAAGGCGGCUUGCUGGACGAUGACUGACGCUGAGGCUCGAAAGCGUGGGGAGCAAACAGGAUUAGAUACCCUGGUAGUCCACGCCGUAAA
rnacentral:rRNA from 1 species